AUGGCUGGGGACAGCCAGGUCCCAGCAGCCUGGGAGAGCAGAGCUGGACUGGUGUCCAGGGGGUCUCAGCUCCUCCCUGGUGGGUGCAGCUGUGAACAAGAUGUUGUGAGUGUGAGGCCCGGGAGUGGCAUGUUUGGUGCAUUGAAUACAGAUGGGGAUGAGAAAUGCCUUCUCCUGGGGCUGUUUGAUGCGAAGGGCAGCAUCCUGAAUUCAUUAGGAAUGCUGCCAGGCACCACCAGAGCCUCUGUCAGCGUCCAGGCAGGCAGAGCAACUCGGACUGAUGCCCUGCGAAGGUGCCACCAGUGCAGUGGCACAUGCAGGCACGUGGUCACACGCCAAAGCACCUGUGUGUGCACAGGGCUGGAAAUGAGGGCACAGCCCCUGUUCCAGGGGCUGGAAAAGAGGGCAUCAUCUCUGUUCCAGGGGCUGGAAAAGAGGGCAUCAUCCCCAUUCAGGUGGAAUUCCCACACCCCUCCAAACCCUGCUGCCACAUGGUUGCAGCUGUGGUGGACAUGGUGCCUGCACAAUCCCACCUUUAUCCACCUCACAAUGCUCCCACCCCUCCUGGGUGAUCCAGGGGAGGAGGGGGACUGGAUGCAAGCUCCGUGUCAGGACACAGGGGUGCAGGAUGGGGGGCCUGGCUGCAGGGAGGGGUGUGGGAUGGCCAGGCUGCUCCCUCCCGGUCCUGCUGCCACCUCCUGCUGCUCCAGAAGGAUGCAGCAUUUUAUCAUCAUCCUGUGAGGCUGACAGGCACCAGAAUUAAUGAGUUCCUCAUCAGUGCUCCCUCAUUUAGCUCCCUCCCUCGGGGUUACACAGCCCCCAGACAGCAUGGAGGGAAUGGGGGUGGGGUUGUUUGCAGGGGUGAGUGUGCAGGACAUGUGCACAGGUAAACACACCUGUGCCACCCCUGGCCAAGGGCUGGUGAGGACAGGCCCAGGGCUUGAGGGGGACAAGCUGCCAGCCAGGUGGAUGAGGGGUUCCUGGGAUGCCCUGAGCCACAGGGACAUGGAGACCCUGCCCUAGUAGAGGGGCAUUGGGACCCAAGGGGCAUGGCUGGCCUGCACACAUCCCUCAUUAAGCAUCUGCUAUUAAUUACUGACACCAGCAAAGAGCACUUGCCCUCAGCACAUAUUUCAGAUGCAGGAGCUUCACCGACUGCAGGAUUGCCCCCACAGAAGCCAAGGAGCUGUGGGGAAGCAGCAGGUCAGGGGACACUGCACCAUAGGCCAGCAAGCAGCAGUUGUGUCCCUUUGUGUGGCUUUGCUGUCCCCUGGGCUGUCCCUCUGGCUGUCACCACACAGCAGAGCAUGAGAGGAAAAAGACAUCCCUGUCCUCUCGGCGCUGGCCUUUUUGGAAUGCUGGCAUCCUGAAAUGAUUGGCCAUCCCAGGGGUGGUUUAUUUGGCAGCUGUGAGGAGCAAAGGCUGUGAAAAGUGCAAACCCUCGGCGUGCCUACUUGAACUGCUGUCAAACCACAUCUCCUGCCUGUGCCCUGUGGUGCCAGCUGGGAUUUCAGCACAUGGGAUGGCAGCCUGCAGGUUAUCUGACCUGCAGGACAUCCUGAGUGUGCAAGCCCAAGCCUGCACUGAAUUUACAUCUGUAGGUAUUGCACCCAUUUUUGUGAGUCCUGCAGAGAUCGUGAUAUAAGUGUUUUACUGUAAAUAAAUUACAUUUGUGGGUUGUGAUGACUUGAAAUGGAAGGAGGAAGGGAGGAAGACAGGCUGGCAGGAGAACAGGACAAGAAGGGAACUAUAUAGACAUGAUGCUCACCCUGAUCCAGCCAUCCUAUCACCUGUCCUCUCUGCCUCAGAAAGCCUGGAAGGAGCCCCUGGGAGCUGUGUUGGGCAGCUGGCAGCCACGGCACAGUUCAGAAGUAUGAACACUCAUCUGAAAGCCUACACGGGUGCAGUGUUUGGAGUAGCAGAGCUCCAUCUAGCAUUGGUGAGAACUGAUGCUUCUCUAAAGCCUAAUUCACAGCUGCUUUGUUAAGCCUUGGAGCUGUUCUGUCUGUCAGCAGCCUCAAACGACCGGAAACCCAGAGUUUUUUAUAGUCCGAGCUUGUCUGUGCCCUCCUCGGCAUCGAGCCCACCCCGCACCCACGGCAGGACACAGCCCCACACAAACCUCCCCUUCCCCGGGCACAGUCAGUCCUUUACCAAUACUGACACCUUUUUUUCCACUAUCAACACUGCUUUUUUCACCCAUGUAAACUUUUUUUUUUUUUUUUUUUUUUUUCCCCCCCCCCCCCCCCCCCCCCCCCCCCCCCCCCCCCCCCCCCCCCCCCCCCCCCCCCCCCCCCCCCCCCCCCCCCCCCCCCCCCCCCCCCCCCCC
ensembl:lncRNA